AAGACUAUACUUUCUGGGAUUAUUUCUGUAGUUUGUUACUAGAGAAGUUUCUCUGAAUGUGUGGACUACCCAAAACCACAAGGAGGAGGCACAGCAGUCUCUCCUGAAUACGAAGCCAGCUCUUGGUGUUGCUUCUGCAACUGCCAUUAGUCACUGAUGAUUGUUCUCUUCCUUUCGGAGAGUAAGAGGGAAAGAACGUUGUCUGAGCGGA
rnacentral:snoRNA from 1 species